UGAUCCAGAGUACCACGGGACACGUGAAACCCUGUGGGAAGCAGGAGGGACCAUCCUCCAAGGCUAAAUACUACUUAGUGACCGAUAGCGCAUAGUACCGUGAGGGAAAGGUGAAAAGAACCCCGGGAGGGGAGUGAAAUAGAACCUGAAACCCUGUGCUUACAAGCUGUGGGAGCACUUUAUAUGUGUGACCGCGUACUUUUUGUAGAACGGGCCAACGAGUUACGACAGUAAGCAAGGUUAAGUACUUAAGGUAUGGAGCCGUAGUGAAAGCGAGUCUUAAAUGGGCGUUAAGUUUUCUGUCGUAGACCCGAAACCGGGCGACCUACCCAUGAGCAGGAUGAAGCGAAAGUAAAAUUUCGUGGAGGUCCGAACCCACGAGCGUUGAAAAGCUCGGGGAUGACUUGUGGGUAGCGGUGAAAUUCCAAUCGAGCCCGGAGAUAGCUGGUUCUCCCCGAAAUAGCUUUAGGGCUAGCCUCAAGGUUGAGAAAUACGGAGGUAGAGCACUGAAUAUCCUAGGGGGCAUUGCGCUUACCGAAGAUUAUCAAACUCCGAAUGCCGUUAUUUUAUACUUGGGAGUCAGACUGUGGGUAAUAAGAUUCAUAGUCGAGAGGGCAACAGCCCAGAUCGUCAGCUAAGGUCCCUAAAUGUAAGUUAAGUGGUAAAGGAUGUGGGAUUGCAUAGACAACCAGGAUGUUGGCUUAGAAGCAGCCACUCAUUUAAAGAGUGCGUAAUAGCUCACUGGUCGAGUGAUCCUGCGCCGAAGAUUACCGGGGCUAAAACUUACUACCGAAGCUACGAUAUCAUUUAUGAUAGGUAGGGGAGCUUCCUAUGCAGGCUGAAGCAUGACCGUAAGGACAUGUGGACAGUAUAGGAGUGAGAAUGUUGGCAUGAGUAGCGAGACGUGGGUGAGAAUCCCACGGGCCGUAAACCCAAGGUUUCCAGGGGAAGGUUCGUCCGCCCUGGGUUAGUCGGGACCUAAGCCGAGGCCGAAAGGCGUAGGUGAUGGACAACAGGUUGAGAUUCCUGUACCACCGAUAAUCGCUUGAGAGAAGGAAUGACACAGUAGGAUAAGCUAACCACACUGUUGGUUAUGUGUGGCUAAGUACUGAGGCAGUCAAGGUAGGCAAAUCCGCCUUGAUAAUGCUGGGGUACGAUGGGGAGCGAAAUUAAGUAGCGAAGUAGCUGAUUUCACACUGUCGAGAAAAGUUUCUAUCGAGAUUAAAGGUGCCCGUACCGCAAACCGACACAGGUGGGUGAGGAGAGUAUCCUAAGGCCAGCGAGAGAACUGUUGUUAAGGAACUCGGCAAAAUGACCCCGUAACUUAGGGAGAAGGGGUGCCACGUUAGGGUUAACGCCCGAGGUGGCCGCAGAGAAUAGGCCCAAGCGACUGUUUACCAAAAACACAGGUUUCUGCUAAGUCGCAAGACGAUGUAUAGGAGCUGACGCCUGCCCGGUGCUGGAAGGUUAAGGGGAUCUGUUAGGAUUUAUCCGAAGCAGUGAACUUAAGCCCCAGUAAACGGCGGCCGUAACUAUAACGGUCCUAAGGUAGCGAAAUUCCUUGUCGGGUAAGUUCCGACCCGCACGAAAGGCGUAACGAUUUGGGACAUUGAAUUUUGGUGCUACAUGUACAGGAUAGGUGGGAGGCUAUGAAGUCGGGACGCCAGUCUCGGCGGAGCCAUCCUUGGGAUACCACCCUUGUAGUACUGAGAUUCUAACCAGAUACCUUGAAUCAGGUAUUGGGACACUGUCAGGUGGGCAGUUUGACUGGGGCGGUCGCCUCCCAAAGAGUAACGGAGGCGCUCAAAGGUUCUCUCAGCACGGUCGGAAAUCGUGCGUAGAGUGUAAAGGCAGAAGAGAGCUUGAUUGCAAGACAUACAGGUCGAGCAAGGACGAAAGUCGGACUUAGUGAUCCGGUGGUUCCGCAUGGAAGGGCCAUCGCUCAACGGAUAAAAGCUACCCUGGGGAUAACAGGCUUAUCUCCCCCAAGAGUCCACAUCGACGGGGAGGUUUGGCACCUCGAUGUCGGCUCAUCACAUCCUGGGGCUGUAGUAGGUCCCAAGGGUUGGGCUGUUCGCCCAUUAAAGUGGUACGCGAGCUGGGUUCAGAACGUCGUGAGACAGUUCGGUCCCUAUCCGUCGCAGGCGUAGGAAAUUUGAGGAGACCUGUCCUUAGUACGAGAGGACCGGGAUGGACGUACCUCUGGUGUACCAGUUGUUCUGCCAAGGGCAUGGCUGGGUAGCUAUGUACGGAAUGGAUAAGCGCUGAAAGCAUCUAAGCGCGAAGCCAACUUCAAGAUAAGAUUUCCCACCGUAAGGGUAAGAUCCCAGG
rnacentral:rRNA from 1 species